CAGAGAAUAGUUUAAUAAAAAUAUUAAUUUUGGAGAUUAAUGAUGGAAAUAAUUUCUUUCUCUGA
rnacentral:tRNA from 1 species